UGGAGGAUAUGGCUGUUUCUCUUGGCUUCUAACUCCAUUGUCCCGACCUGAUACCCCUGCUGAACACAAUUACAAUCAUGCACAUAAGUCCAUGCGGAAUGUGAUAGAAAGAUGUUUUGGUGUGCUGAAAUCUAGGUUUCGGUGUCUGGAUAAGUCUGGUGGACUUUUGUUGUAUAGUCCCUCCAAGGUGACUCAAAUUGUGUUCUGCUGCUGCUUUCCUCAUAACAUGUGUUUGCAACAACAUCUGCCACAUGUUGAGGAGGAGGAAGAAAGCAGCCAGCAAGCAGAGGAAUUAGAGACAUCUGGGGAUACUUGGAGUACUGAUGUAGGGAGGCAGGUUAGGCAACAGAUCAUCAAUAGCUUUUCUAAGGCAAAGAGAAUGAUUGGAAUCUAGAAAGAGUAAUGAUUAGAAAAAAAUCAAGUGGUCAGUUUACUUCCUGCUAACAUGUAUGUGUGGCUCCAACAACAUUUUCCUCCUCCAAUACCCAAAAAAAUGAAAAAGAAUAAAUCAUCUUACACCCAAUGUCAUACUGUAUGACUCAAGUGGACCAUCAUAUCUUUACUGGAUGUGGACAAGGCCAUUUAGUUUGGAUUCCAUUUCAGCUUUUACUUACUGCGGGAAGUAUUUUUGUUUUGGAUGUGUUUGGACUUAAUGCGGUUAUGACUGAUUAUGAUUAUGUUCUGACAUUUUACACUUUUUUUCCAGUUUGAUACUCACAAUCAAGAUGAGGGGAGUGUGGAUGACGUCUUGGAGGUGUGUCCAAAAUAUAGAGUGGGGGGACCGGUUCCGGUAUGAAUGGUCGACCAUGUUAUGGUCGACA